UACGAAGGGGGCUAGCGUUGCUCGGAAUCACUGGGCGUAAAGCGCACGUAGGCGGAUUGCUAAGUCAGGGGUGAAAUCCUGGAGCUCAACUCCAGAACUGCCUUUGAUACUGGCGACCUUGAGUCCGGGAGAGGUGAGUGGAACUGCGAGUGUAGAGGUGAAAUUCGUAGAUAUCCGCAAGAACACCAGUGGCGAAGGCGGCUCACUGGCCCGUUACUGACGCUGAGGCACGAAAGCGUGGGGAGCAAACAGG
rnacentral:rRNA from 1 species